AGAGUUUGAUCAUGGCUCAGAAUCAACGCUGGCGGCGUGCCUAACACAUGCAAGUCGAACGCGAAAGUGGAGCAAUCCAUGAGUAGAGUGGCAAACGGGUGAGUAACGCGUGGGUGACCUGCCUUCGAGUGGGGGAUAACGCUCCGAAAGGGACGCUAAUACCGCAUAACAUCCUGCCUUUUAAGAGGUGGCGAUCAAAGCCUGGGACCGCAAGGCCAGGCGCUCAAAGAGGGGCCCGCGUCUGAUUAGCUAGUUGGUGAGGUAACGGCUCACCAAGGCUUCGAUCAGUAUCCGGCCUGAGAGGGCGGACGGACACACUGGGACUGAGACACGGCCCAGACUCCUACGGGAGGCAGCAGUGGGGAAUUGUUCGCAAUGGGCGCAAGCCUGACGACGCAACGCCGCGUGGAGGAUGAAGAUCUUCGGGUCGUAAACUCCUUUCGAUCGAGACGAACGGCCUCCGGGUGAACAAUCCGGAGGAGUGACGGUACCGAGAGAAGAAGCCCCGGCUAACUCCGUGCCAGCAGCCGCGGUAAUACGGGGGGGGCAAGCGUUGUUCGGAAUUACUGGGCGUAAAGGGCUCGUAGGUGGCCAUCUAAGUCAGACGUGAAAUCCCUCGGCUUAACCGGGGAACUGCGUCUGAUACUGGACAGCUUGAGUUUGGGAGAGGGACGCGGAAUUCCAGGUGUAGCGGUGAAAUGCGUAGAUAUCUGGAGGAACACCGGUGGCGAAAGCGGCGUCCUGGACCAACACUGACACUGAUGAGCGAAAGCCAGGGGAGCAAACGGGAUUAGAUACCCCGGUAGUCCUGGCCCUAAACGAUGAAUGCUUGGUGUGGCGGGUAUCGAUCCCUGCCGUGCCGAAGCUAACGCAUUAAGCAUUCCGCCUGGGGAGUACGGUCGCAAGGCUGAACUCAAAGGAAUUGACGGGGGCCCGCACAAGCGGUGGGAGCAUGGUGGUUCAAUUCGACGCA
rnacentral:rRNA from 1 species